rnacentral:rRNA from 1 species
UACGAAGGGGGCGAGCGUUGUUCGGAUUUACUGGGCGUAAAGGGCGCGUAGGCGGCCUUGUAAGUCAGGCGUGAAAGCCCCGGGCUCAACCUGGGAACGGCGCUUGGGACUGCGUGGCUGGAGUUCGGGAGAGGAGAGUGGAAUUCCCAGUGUAGAGGUGAAAUUCGUAGAUAUUGGGAGGAACACCAGUGGCGAAGGCGGCUAUCUGGGCUGCAACUGACGCUGAGGCGCGAAGGCUAGGGGAGCAAACAGG